CAAGAUACAACAGAUAAGAUAUCCCUGGAAGCAACCAAACAGAUGAGGCAAGAGCUGAAGGAUCCCCUGCAGACAAGAGAAGAGAUGGACAUAGUGCUUCAGUGGAAGGUGGUAUUUCUUGAAGGAAGCACUCCAUCUUCGGUGCCAGCCCCUGCUGCAGGAAGGAAGGCGAAGCCAGACACGGGCACAGGCACAGCAGACUGGGAUGCUGGGAAGGAUUCUCCAUUAGCCUGGCGCUCUGAAGUUGUGAAGCCCUCUGAGCAUUCUGCAGGCGUGUCUGCAGGGACGACCUCACCAACUCCUACCUUGGAUGCUGCACAAAAGGCCAGCUCCCAUGGCAGGGGUCCUCUGACAGGAAAGACCAAAGACAUGGCAGGCAGGAAAUUCCAGGACCCAUUAGAAAUAAUGUGGCAAAUGCUGAAGGAACGUCUGCAGAGAAGACAAG